rnacentral:miRNA from 10 species
ACCUGCUCUCAUUUAAGUCAAUG